AGCGAACGCUGGCGGCAUGCUUUACACAUGCAAGUCGAACGGUAACAGGCCGCAAGGUGCUGACGAGUGGCGAACGGGUGAGUAAUGCAUCGGAACGUGCCCAGUCGUGGGGGAUAACGCAGCGAAAGCUGUGCUAAUACCGCAUACGAUCUAUGGAUGAAAGCGGGGGACCGUAAGGCCUCGCGCGAUUGGAGCGGCCGAUGUCAGAUUAGGUAGUUGGUGGGGUAAAGGCUCACCAAGCCAACGAUCUGUAGCUGGUCUGAGAGGACGACCAGCCACACUGGGACUGAGACACGGCCCAGACUCCUACGGGAGGCAGCAGUGGGGAAUUUUGGACAAUGGGCGCGAGCCUGAUCCAGCAAUGCCGCGUGCAGGAAGAAGGCCUUCGGGUUGUAAACUGCUUUUGUACGGAACGAAACGGUCUGGGUUAAUACCCUGGGCUAAUGACGGUACCGUAAGAAUAAGCACCGGCUAACUACGUGCCAGCCGCCGCUGUAAAAC
rnacentral:rRNA from 1 species